rnacentral:rRNA from 1 species
UACGAAGGGGGCGAGCGUUGUUCGGAUUUACUGGGCGUAAAGGGCGCGUAGGCGGCCUUGUCAGUCAGGCGUGAAAGCCCCGGGCUCAACCUGGGAACGGCGCUUGGGACGGCGAGGCUGGAGUUCGGGAGAGGAGAGUGGAAUUCCUGGUGUAGCGGUGAAAUGCGCAGAUAUCAGGAAGAACACCCGUGGCUAAGGCGGCUCUCUAGUACGGUACUGACGCUGAGACGCGAAAGCGUGGGGAGCGAACAGG